UACGUAGGUGGCAAGCGUUGUCCGGAAUUACUGGGCGUAAAGAAUGCGUAGGCGGCUUUUUAAGUGGGAUGUGAAAUCCCUGGGCUCAACCCAGGAACUGCAUUCCAAACUGGAAGGCUAGAGUGUGGGAGAGGAAAAUGGUAUUCCCAGUGUAGCGGUGAAAUGCGUAGAGAUUGGGAGGAACACCAGUAGCGAAGGCGAUUUUCUGGAACAUAACUGACGCUGAGGCAUGAAAGCGUGGGGAGCAAACAGGAUUAGAUACCCUGGUAGUCCACGCCGUAAACGAUGAGUACUAGGUGUAGGGGGGUACCACCCCCUGUGCCGCAGUUAACACAUUAAGUACUCCGCCUGGGAAGUACGAUCGCAAGAUUAAA
rnacentral:rRNA from 1 species